GGGACACGUCUGCUGAGGGGCUUGUUUAAUCGGCGUCCUCUCCCAUGGCUGAGAAUCAGCAGUCAGGAAUGUGAUCUGAGUGGGCACAAUGACGCUUAUCCCCCCCAACAAAGUUUUUUUCUUCUUCUCCUCCUCACAAGAUUUCCUUAAUCGGAUAAUUCCUGUCUUAUUGAACAAGGAGAGUAGAUCAUGGGCUGAGCUCUGGAAGAAAAACACUGGAGCAGAACUCAGGUCAUUUAUGACGAAGGAGUCUUGGACUGCUCUCACAGCUUUACAGUUCUGAAUGGAGGGAGAGGUGUAUUCAUUUGGACCCCAAACUCUUGGCGUGCUGCAGGAUGGUCCACGUGUGUGAGUGUUUCGAUGUGUUUCAAAAUGAGUGUGUAUGUUUGCAAGUUUGUGAUUGUACAUUUGUGUGUGGGAAACCCAGGAAAUCCAGUCUCCCAUGCGCCAACAUCCAUUGUGUUUGGUUUCCUCCUCUCUCUGUCCUUCUGAGUGACUGUGUGUGUGUUUAGCUGCAAAGCUUUCCUCUCUCGCUGCGGCUCUAAUGAGACAGAGGAGGAAGUCCAAGCAGGAGGAUUGCACUUGGCAGUGUUAACUGGAAACACUCUCAUGAAUGGGUCAGAGGAUCUGUGUUGGUCCUUUCUUCAUUCACAACAGAACAAUCUGUCCAGAACACGCACAUCAAAGAAUCCAGCACAGUAAAUAAAGACUGGAAGAUCAUAUGCAGAGAGGGAGAGCCGUGGAAUAAACCCAGACGCCACCCUUUGUGAUGUUGACUGGAUUGACUCUCUGUGGUUCCACUUCGCUUCACUUUCAACUUUAUUGUUUUCCGGGAGGAACAGAUAAAUAUGCACAGCAUGCUGUAGUAGGUUUCACAAAGUCAAAUUUUAAAUAUGUCUUAAACACAACACUGUGCAAACAUCUUGACUUGUUACAUUUUAUUAGAUUUUUGCAGGCUUCUGCACUGUGUAACAAAAUAAGUACGUAAAUUUUAUGUAGGUUGCCCUUUUCACAUUAAAAAUAUCUCAAAGUGCUUCACAACGUAGUAUAAAAUAAAAUAAAACAGAGGUGUGCACCAGAUGUCAUGAACAAAAUGAAUAAACAAUUGAAGAGGUAAGAAAAGUAGAUGUAAUGUUGGAUGGCUAAAAACACAGCAAUAAAAAUAAACUACAGAAUAACAACUUAAUGCCAUGACCAUUAUGGGAAGGCUGGUUUGAAAGGAUUUGUUUUAAACUGCUUUUUAAAAGACACCACAAAGUAAUCUGCUAUCACAGAGUUUCCCAAAAACCACAAAAAACUUGCAAACGAAGUAACCUUUCUGUAAGAUAUAGAAACAAAUUUAUGUCAGGGAAAAUCCCUAAUUGAUGCCUUUAGGCUUUUAGGCAAGUGUGCAUAUUCCUGAGUCAUUCAGUCGGAGUCAGAAAAGUAGACUAAAAUUGAUUCUUACCUCAUAUGUGCAAAACUACUAGUCAUUCAUGUUGUCACUAGUUUUCAUUUUAACUACCAGAUUUUUUCAGUUUCUUUCAAGAUAUUUCAAGGUUUUCUUUAGGCUUUAAUUGUUUUCAAAAUUUUAACCAUCACUUCAUUAAAAAAUAAUAGGUUUCAAAAGGUAACUUAUUGCUUCCUGACCCACUGUGAUAAGUACAGACACCUGUGCCAGAAUCACUACCAACCAGAAUAACUAACAGUUUAGUGCCUGCUUAGCGGAGACCCAAGCCAACCCAACAUGCCAAGUAAAACAAUUCUGCAGCUGAUAGCAAACGGACAAAAAAGGAAUAGCUUGUGUAAAGGCAAAAGUCAACAGGAGAAAGGAAAACUUUUGAGCGUCUAUAUUAAACUGAGAGCUAAUUUUCCUUUUAAUCUAUUAAUCAAUCAUCUAUCAAUAAGUCAACUUUAUUUAUAACAUUAGGUAGAUUUGGUUAUAGUGGGGUGAGUCAGCUUUCUUGCCUGACAGGAAACUUCGACACAGCAAUAAAUACAAAUAUAACAUUCAAAUUGGUCCAGUGCUUAAGACUGCUUUUGCUUUGAAGUGUGAGCUUUCAGAAUAAAUAAUUCUGAAUUUACUCCUCUUAUAGAAAAAGAAGCCCAGCAAUAAAUGUGUCUGGCACAUGCAACAAAGACCUUAAUAAUGCACACGACAAAGUGACAUCAUGUAAUAAAACACAAACAUAAUGAACACAUCUUUUGGAAACACAUACUUUCUUUUUAUGUUUGUACAGCCCUUUAUGAGGUUGUUUGUACAAUUACGAGUCUGAGGGUUAAAAUGUUGUUUCCCCAACUGUUUUUCCACAGGAUUUGUCAACUUUCCACAGGUCAUUGGGAUCCAUUGUUUUUCCAGGUUAUUGUGACAUUUGCUGGAUGUUUUAAGGGGUUUUCCACCAGCCCUUCAUAUUCCAUCACAGUGAUCAGAGGAGACCAAACAAGCAGUAGCAGCACAGUUUAGGUUCAAGAAGGUCACUGCUGCUCUUACACAACAUGCAGUUCACUGACCUGCAGUGUAUCUGUACAGUCUGUCGUGUGGAAAACAUCGCAUUUGAGAAAAACACACUUGCAGUGGGGAAAUUUUUGAUGAGAAACAGUCAGGAUGGAGGAUGUUGUUUUCCCCUCAUUUAAUCACAAAUGAGCAGGUUGGCCUUGUGCUGGACAGAAACAACUUUGUGAAAAGAAAUCUUUGUUGAAAGUUUUUCAAAUUUGCAUAGUGAAGAGCUGUCCUAUAAUAUGUUUAAAGCUAAUGUCCUCUUGUGUGAUAAACCAUAUAGAAUUUCUUUACUUUCAGACAUUUUCUAUAUAGCAUGCCUCAGCAUUUUUUUUCUGGGAUUGCACUUAUGGUCACAAAACUCAAUUUUAUAUCACAGCUGAGGAAACAAUAGAUACAAAAAUGUUGUAUAUUGCAACUGUAAGAACUUGGAAGAAAUAGCUCAUAGCUUAACUAUUGAUUAGAAUGUUAAAUUUUUAUUUUUGUGGGACAAAGACAAAUAGUUUACCAGAACUUUCCAGAGUACAACAGGAUACCUUGUUGUUGCUGUUAUUUUUUUUUUUAGGGAGAAAAGUUUUGAAACUAACAAAUCUUGUUAUUCAUAAACUUUGUCUGUUUUAAAAGUGUCAGGUUUAAUAGAUUCUACGUUACUAUGAUGAGUGACAAGAUGAAAUGAAACUGCUUGCAAAUUCAAUAAAAAUGGAAAAACCUCUGCAUCCAAGCUGUGCCACAAAGCUGCCUCUAGACAUAUAUACUGUAUCUAUCUAUAUAUACACACAUAUAUAUUUGUGGCAACCCGGGAUGGAUUUUCUUUAUUAUGAAACCCAAAUGUAAGAUGUUAAAGUUUACGAUAGGGGAAACCGACAACGCCACCUGAAAUAACUCCAGGAAAAUAGAAUGUAAUAAGGACACAGGUACGUUCUACUGGAAAUGAGACAAGAUUCAGACAGUUCUACAAAAAAAUUUAUUAAACUUCAAUGUGUUGUUUAAAUUAAUAACCUGAAAUUGAAUAGUUAAAACAGUUAAUGCAUUUUUAAUAAAGUUGAUAAUAAAAUGUUUAAAUUUCAAAGAAAAUUGAGGCUUAGCUACCAGUGGGGGGAGAGUAGUGAGGAAAGGGGCAACAUUCAGUGAAGAAAAGGGAUCACCCUAGACACUACAAAAACACGGCAAACGCACACACACGAAAAAGGUGCUCCAACAAAACACACAAGACACCAGGAAUCACCACCGCCACCACAGAAGCCUCAGUCCCUAAAAGAAAGACA